GGAAGGGCGAGCGGGAGGCAGUACGGCGCGCAGCUCGGGGGUGUCUGUCAGUGCCCGGGCCCCGCCCGCGGGCGCACCUCGGGAGCAGCGCCGGGUGUCUCCGUCUGCGUGCGGCCGCUUUGCCAAUGCGCGUUGUUCAGCGCGUGGGACCCGAGCGCUGCGCUCAGCGAGGCGUGAGCGCUUUCUCCAGUUGUUUCUAUGACAGAACACUUUUCUCCCGGGAGAAAACAGAGCGGAGAUGCGCGUUUGCGUGUGCGUCCGCAGGGGACUGCGGAAAGCCCCCGCUUCGCCUCAGAGCCGCUAAUUUGGUUCAGCUCCCGGCAGCGCUGUGAGCCGCGCGAGCCCGAGGUGCGAUGUCCCGCCGUGUGUCUGCGCUCCGUGCUCAGCUCCGGGACCCAGCAGGGGAUGCUCCCAGCUCCGUGCUGAUGCGCUGCCGCCUCCUGCGCCCAGAUCUCCGCUCCUGGAAGGGUCGGAAAUCGCCCUGCAGCCUCAGCUCACCUCCCCCCACCUCACACUUAGCCUCCCCUAUAGAUACAGACAAGCUGCUCCCAGGUCUCCCUGGAGUCUUCUCUUUUCCAGGCUGAACAGCUCCAGCUCUCUCAGCCUGUCCUCGUAGGAGAGGUGUUCCAUCCCUUGGAUCAUUUUUGUGCUCCUCCUCUGGACAGGCUCCAACAGGUCCAUGUAUCUCCUGCACUGAAGACUCCACAUCUGGAUGCAGUACUUCAGGCAAGGUGUCACCAUCACAGAGUAGAGGAGCAGGAUCACCUCCCUUGACGUGCUGACCAUGGGCCUCUUAAACUCCAUCAAAAAGCCCCACAAUAUGCCAGAAAUGUGUCAGAACUGAGUCAAAUCCACAGGGAGUCAUUAAGGAGGAAAAGUUAUUCCCACUGCUGGCCAGCUUCUUUGUGCUGUGCUGUCAAGCCCUGAGAAGAGAGCACAGGAGUGACUCUGAGGGUGUUGUGCGCUUGUGUUCAUAUGCUACUGCUGUGAAUGCAGUGACAUUUUUCUGGCUUUUUGUCAGCAGUCAGGCAGGUGUUCCUUCCCCCACUUGUUCUUCAUAGUGAGAGAUUUUCUGUCUUGGCCCCACUAAGGGUGUUACUCAUGAAAACUGGAUACCAUCGGACCCAUGUAGGACCAAUCUGGAUUUAAUGCAGCUUUGCCUGUAUACUUUUGCAUCUGUAUUCCGGGAUGACAG
ensembl:lncRNA